AUAAUUUGUUGUUUUUGACACCAAAUUUUGAUUAUCUAGAGUUUUUUGAGUCUAAAGCUCGAAUUUCACUUGAUUUGUAGUGUAGAAUUGAAGAUACCAUGGAAGGAUUUUGAGUUUUUGAAACUUUGUGAAUUUUGAAAAGUGAGCUUAUUUUUGGCUUGGUUUUGAAGGCUAAAAAUUAGUGGGAUUUGUUUGUGGCAUUGAAAGGAGUACAUAGAUGAAGAUUUCAUCGAAUUUGGAGUUGAAAUGAAGAAGUUAUGAAGAUGUGAAGGUUGGGGUUUUCAUUGUUGUUCUUGAGUAUCUUCACCUUGUACAUGAAGAAGAA
rnacentral:lncRNA from 1 species